GUUGCAGGGAGCCAAGAUCUCGCCACUGCACUCCAGCCUGGGCAACAGAGCGAGACUCCAUCUCAAAAAAAUAAAAAAAACAGGUCACGGAGGUGUGACUUGUUCAGAAAGUUGCAAGACAAGUCAUUUAUGGAAAGCAGUGUGCCUCAUUUCCUGCAACUGGCUGACUGAAAAAUAACUGGCAGGCUAAAAAGCUGCACUUCCUCACACCUGGAACAUCAUCCAUUCCUUUUCACCAUGGCCUAGUCUACGCUGAUCAAAGAGGACUCAAUUCCACAGCUUCACUUUAGCAUUUGGCUCACGAUAAAGAGUCCGUGCAACUCCCUCCAAGACACAUUUUUGUCUCAAACUCAAUUCCAAGCUUCGGGUCAAAGCCCUAGGAAAGAAGACUGGAUCUGAGGGAUCCAGAGGAAGAUGACAAUGGAAGUUAAAAGGCAUGGCACAGCUUCAGGUCAUCAAACUCCAAACAGACAUGCAACCAGAGCCUUGGAUGAUGGCCCCUUCUGCAGGGGACCCUAAGAUAGGCCUCUGAGGGAGAUCUGACUGCCAUCUUCCCAAAACAGCACCCCCUGCCAGCAGGAAGCAGUUAAGAUCGGUCUUUGUCCUUAGCCUCACUCUAAGGGCAGUUAGAUGUACUUCUUUAGAUGGGGAAAUGAGACAGCCAAGUAUAAAGGAAUUCCCAGAGAACCUCUAACUGGCCUGUGCACUGGGAGAAUGGGGUAGAGCCAUGGAAGUUCACGCUGUUUGCAGUGGGGAGGAGCCUGGCCUCUCCUGUUCCUGUGAGGAACCUGGGAUUCAAUCUGUGAGAUGAGGGCCUGUUAACAGGAAUCCCUCUCUUGCUUUGCUGUGUUGUUUUUCCUUUUUCCCCAAUAAAUUCCAUCCUCCUUGCCCCUCAAA